rnacentral:misc_RNA from 1 species
AAGAUGAAGAGGAUGGUUAUCCCUGAUGCCCUUAAGGUGUUGAGACUUCAGAAGGGACACAAGUACUGCCUGUUAGGGAGGUUGUCAUCUGAGGUUGGAUGGAACCACUAUGAAACCAUCAGGGAGCUGGAGAAGAAGAGAAAGGAGAGAGCUCAAGUUUUGUAUGAGAGGAAGAAGCAACUGAAUAAACUCAGAGCAAAAGCUGAGAAGGUUGCAGAGGAGAAGCU